rnacentral:rRNA from 1 species
AACGAACGCUGGCGGCAUGCCUAACACAUGCAAGUCGAACGAGACCUUCGGGUCUAGUGGCGCACGGGUGCGUAACGCGUGGGAACCUGCCCUUAGGUUCGGAAUAACUCCCCGAAAGGGGUGCUAAUACCGGAUAAUGUCUUCUGACCAAUGAUUUAUCGCCUUUGGAUGGGCCCUCGUUGGAUUCGCUAGUUGGUAGGGUAAAAGCCUACCAAGGCGACGAUCCAUAGCUGGUCUGAGAGGAUGCUCAGCCACACUGGGACUGAGACACGGCCCAGACUCCUACGGGAGGCAGCAGUGGGGGAUAGUGGACAAUGGGCGAAAGCCUGAUCCAGCAAUGCCGGGUGAGUGAUGAAGGCCUUAGGGUUGUAAAGCUCUUUUAACCGGGAUGAUAAUGACAGUACCGGGAGAAUAAGCUCCGGCUAACUCCGUG